rnacentral:rRNA from 1 species
CACGAAACAAGAUGAGCUAAUAUAUGGCAAUUUAAGAUUAGUGGUAUGUUACAUAAUACGCCGUUGACCAUAUAUUAGGGGUGAUAGGCUUACCAAAUUUUGAGAUAACUUGAUGUUUCUGAGAGGUAUUAAGUACGUUUCUAAUUAAAAAGUGCCAAGAUUUUUUAAAAGUAUUAAUUAUUUAUAAGAUUGUAAAAGGUCUAACGAUCUAUUUUUUAUUUAAAUUAACAUUUUUUUAAUAAUAUUGUAAUAACUAAGAAACUAUAUUAUAACAAUUUAAAAUAUUUAUAAUGUUAUUAUAAGUAAUUUAUAAUCUAUUAUAAAUGAACUCGGCAAAAUAACUCUCAGCUGUUUAUCAAAAACAUCGCUACUAGUAUAUUUUAGUAGUCUUUUCUGCUCAAUGAAAUUUAAAUAGCCGCAGUACCCUGACUGUGCAAAGGUAGCAUAAUCAGUUGGCUUAUAAUUGAAGUCUUGUAUGAAAGAAUUUAUGGGGGUUAACUGUAUCAAUAGUAUACUAUGAAAUUGCUUAAUGAGUGCAAAUUCUCAUGUUUAAAUAUUAGACGAGAAGACCCUAGAAAUUUAUAGAAUAGCUAAAACUUUGUUUUUGUUGGGGCAACAAAGUAACAAUUAAUUUACUUUUGCAGUACAAGAAAUUUGUUUGUAAGUUUAAAUUACUCUAGGGAUAACAGCGUAAUAUUGAAAUGUUUGCGACCUCGAUGUUGGAUUAGGAAGCGAGGGCU